AUUGAACGCUGGCGGCAGGCCUAACACAUGCAAGUCGAGCGGAUGAUGGGAGCUUGCUCCUGGAUUCAGUGGCGGACGGGUGAGUAAUGCCUAGGAAUCUGCCUGGUAGUGGGGGACAACGUUUCGAAAGGAACGCUAAUACCGCAUACGUCCUACGGGAGGAAGCAGGGGACCUUCGGGCCUUGCGCUAUCAGAUGAGCCUAGGUCAGAUUAGCUUGUUGGUGAGGUAAUGGCUCACCAAGGCGACGAUCCGUAACUGGUCUGAGAGGAUGAUCAGUCACACUGGAACUGAGACACGGUCCAGACUCCUACGGGAGGCAGCAGUGGGGAAUAUUGGACAAUGGGCGAAAGCCUGAUCCAGCCAUGCCGCGUGUGUGAAGAAGGUCUUCGGAUUGUAAAGCACUUUAAGUUGGGAGGAAGGGUUGUAGAUUAAUACUCUGCAAUUUUGACGUUACCGACAGAAUAAGCACCGGCUAACUCUGUGCCAGCAGCCGCCGUAACAC
rnacentral:rRNA from 1 species